UACGAAGGGGGCUAGCGUUGUUCGGAAUCACUGGGCGUAAAGCGCACGUAGGCGGCGCGUUAAGUCAGGGGUGAAAUCCUGGAGCUCAACUCCAGAACUGCCUUUGAUACUGGUGCGCUCGAGUGUGGGAGAGGUUGGUGGAACUCCGCGUGUAGAGGUGAAAUUCGUAGAUAUUCGGAAGAACACCAGUGGCGAAGGCGGCCAACUGGCCCAUUACUGACGCUGAUGUGCGAAAGCGUGGGGAUCAAACAGG
rnacentral:rRNA from 1 species